UUAUAAUAAAUAUAAGGUUAAGAAGAAGUUAAAUGAAAGCAUUAAAUUUAAAUAGUUUGGCGGUAUUUUAAAUAGUUAGAGGAAUUUGUUAAUUAAAUGAUGGUCCACGAGUGGAGGGUCCUAGUGAAGUUUUUAUGUAUUGUUGUAUAAAAAUUAUUUUAUAAGAAUUAUAAUUAAAAAAUUUAAUUUAAUUUGAAUUCAAAUCAAAAUGUAGAAUUAUUAGGUUUAAAUGAAUUACAUUUUAAUAUAAUAUUAGAAUUAUUUUUUUAAUAAAAUAAUAAAAUUGGAUUUAAGAGUAAGUUUAAAAAAAUUUUUAGAUUGAAAUAUUAAUUAAAAUAUG
rnacentral:rRNA from 1 species